AUUGAACGCUGGCGGCAGGCCUAACACAUGCAAGUCGAGCGGAGCGGCGGACGGGUGAGUAAUGCCUAGGAAUCUGCCUGUUAGUGGGGGAUAACUUCCGGAAACGGGCGCUAAUACCGCCUACUUUCAAUUGAGCCUCGGCCGGCGUAGCUAGUUGGUGGGGUAAUGGCCUACCAAGUCGACGAUCCGUAACUGGUCUGAGAGGAUGAUCAGUCACACUGGAACUGAGACACGGUCCAGACUCCUACGGGAGGCAGCAGUGGGGAAUAUUGGACAAUGGGCGAAAGCCUGAUCCAGCCAUGCCGCGGGUGUGAAGAAGGUCUUCGGAUUGUAAAGCACUUUAAGUUGGGAGGCGUUACCAAAAGAAUAAGCACCGGCUAACUUCGUGCCAGCCGCCGCGGUAAUUC
rnacentral:rRNA from 1 species